CCUACGGGAGGCAGCAGUGAGGAAUAUUGGUCAAUGGGCGCAAGCCUGAACCAGCCAAGUCGCGUGAGGGAUGACGGUCCUAUGGAUUGUAAACUUCUUUUGUCGGGGAGCAAGGUCCGCCACGUGUGGCGGGAAGGAGAGUACCCGUAGAAAAAGCAUCGGCAAACUCCGUGCCAGCAGCCGGGGUAAUACGGAGGAUGCGAGCGUUAUCCGGUUUUAUUGGGUUAAAGGGGUGCGUAGGCGGGAGGUUAAGUCAGCGGUAAAAUGUCGGUGCUCAACACCGGCCUGCCGUUGAAACUGGUCUUCUUGAGUGAGCGAGAGGUAUGCGGAAUGCGUGGUGUAGCGGUGAAAUGCAUAGAUAUCACGCAGAACUCCGAUUGCGAAGGCAGCAUACCGGCGCUCAACUGACGCUGAGGCACGAAAGCAUGGGGAUCGAACAGGAUUAGAUACCCGAGUAGUC
rnacentral:rRNA from 1 species